rnacentral:rRNA from 1 species
UACGAAGGGGACUAGCGUUGUUCGGAAUUACUGGGCGUAAAGCGCACGUAGGCGGAUUUGUAAGUCAGGGGUGAAAUCCCGGGGCUCAACCUCGGAACUGCCUUUGAUACUGCAAAUCUCGAGUCCGAUAGAGGUGGGUGGAAUUCCUGGUGUAGCGGUGAAAUGCGCAGAUAUCAGGAGGAACACCGGUGGCGAAGGCGGAUCUCUGGGCCUUACCUGACGCUCAGGUGCGAAAGCUAGGGGAGCAAACAGG